rnacentral:rRNA from 1 species
GACUACUGGGGUAUCUAAGCCUGUUUGCUCCCCACGCUUUCGCGCCUCACCGUCAGUUGUCGUCCAGUAAUCCGCCUUCGCCACUGGUGUUCUUCCUUAUAUCUACGCAUUUCACCGCUACACAAGGAAUUCCGAUUACCUCUCCGAUACUCAAGAAAAGCAGUUUCAAAUGCAGUUUGGAGGUUGAGCCUCCAGAUUUCACAUCUGACUUGCCUUCCCGGCUGCACGCCCUUUACACCCAGUAAAUCCGGACAACGCUUGCCACCUACGUAUUACCGCGGCUGCUGGCACGUAGUUAGCCGUGGCUUAUUCAAGGGGUACCGUCUUCUACUCUUCCCCCUUAAAAGAAGUUUACAACCCGAAAGCCUUCUUCCUUCACGCGGCGUUGCUGGGUCAGACUUGCGUCCAUUGCCCAAUAUUCCCCACUGCAGCCACCCGUAGG